UCGGUUUCCGCGGGCGGGGGCGUAGGGCCGGGGGGAGCGGCCGGGGGAGCUCGGCGGCCGCCGUCUUACGACAGAUCCUGGAAAGAGGAUCAAGGUGGGGCCCGCCCCGCCGCGCACCGCCGGCAACCGACGGGGCGGCCCGGGCUCGGCCGCUGGGAGCACGGCGGAGAGCUGCAGGCGGCGAGGCCCGGAGCGGCGAGCUCCAUCCAGCGCGGGUGAGUGGCGGAGACCCGCGCCCUGCCCUCGCUCCCGGCCCCGCGAGGCCGCUCCGAUGGGGGGAGUUGGGAGCUCCGCGCGGACCCCGCCGUCGGGGCGCCCCGCGAGGUGCCCUCCCGUCGGGGCCGCGCUGCGCUGCCCGGCCCGAGGGGCUGUUUACCCGGGCGGGGGGAGGCAGAUAAGGCGGAGGGGAAAUGCCGGGGCUGUUUGCUGAGGGAUUAGGGCCGGUCCCGCCGCGCCGGGGCCCGGGAUGGGGGUGGGGUGGGGGGGCGGCGGGCGCGGUGGGUGUCCCCGCGGAGAAGUCCGUUUGGAGAUCUGCGCUGAUUAACUGAGGGCUGCGGUGGCUGAAGAGGGCCCUGGCGCCAGGCGGCUGAGCCCUCACAAUAAAGACCCGUCUCUUGUCACUUCAUAUUUACCCCCAAAUCUUCAAAAAGCGCCCUGCGAUCCUUACAAGGCUCCUGCCCCCGCCGCCUGCGCUGCGGCCAGACGGGACGGGGACGGGGGGGCGGAGGCGGCCCCCUCCUCUGCCCACGGCUCCGCGGGUGCGCAGCGACGCGCUGCCUUCCUGGGGACCGCGCUGGGCCGCUCCCCGCGGAGGGUGAGACGCGGGGACCCCCGGCAGCCCUCUCCCCACCGCCACCUCUCCGCUGUUUCUCCCCACAUCGUGGUUCAUCGUGCUGCCAGCAAACCCCGGUGCUGCGAAGGGCCCGAGGAGAAGCCCCGGAGGCGGCCGCAUCCCGCCCCGUCCCGCGGCAGGUUCACCUCCAGCCGUCGCCUCCCGACGGGGCGGACACAGCGCGGCCACCGCGGAGCUGCCCUCACCGCCCCGGCCGCCGCGCGGGGCUGAGGGGGGUGUGUGUGUCUGGGGGGGGGGGAUCGGUCCCGCUGACCAUUGAACGGGGCGAGGUGGCGAGCGGGGAUUGAAAUUUAGACCUCAUUUGGACUUUGCUUCCUCGCCACCGUCGAAAUGUGCUGACUGCAGCUUUGGCAAAAAUGGGGCUUGCUUGGGCUUUUUUUUUCCCUUUUUUUUUUCCCCCUCCCCUCCAAGCACACCCGGAUCCUCGCGUUGCCCCAGGGCCACAUCACCCCACUCCAGGGCACUGCGCAGACCCGCAGACACCGCACCCGCAGCUCCGAGGGGCAGUGCGGGGCCCCGCAAAGAAACGUCGCCUCUCCCCGGGCCCAGGUUCCGGGACCCCCCCGGCACAGCUGUAACGUCGCGAACGCCCACGCCUGCAGAAUAAAAACCGAUCCAGAGCCGCCUCGUCUCCCCGAGCCUCUGUGGCAGCGCCCGUCGGUGGGACAGCCGAGCCGGUAGACUUAGGCCUUGGCGCCAGGCCGUUUAAGACCUGUCAAAGUCCUUCAUAUUUCCCUCAUGUCACAUGGACCUUUCGCUCCCUUCCCCGCGCCAUGCGAGGGCCGUAAUUUGGAUCUGUGAGCUGGUGAGCAAAUGCAAUUUGCUCUUCUCCAUCGCUGCGUUGUCUCCGUGACCCCAGCCAGCAGGACGGCUGGUGUCCUGUCCGGGGCACUUACACAAAUUGCGGCUGAUUGAUGAAAAAUAACAAUUCUCCGAGCAGUCGGGCCUCCGUCUUCCCCUCCUCCCGGCUCCUCCGGGCUGAGGCGGCUCCGCGCCCCGGGGCGCUCCUCUCGACGGUGCGGGGCCGCCCCACGAACCGCCGCCGGCCGCCUCUGGAGUGACUCUCGGAUUGAGCCAAAAAGGGGUUUUCUUCUCGUGCUGGAAGCGAGCCGUCGGGGCCCGCUUCUCGGCAGAGAUGAAGGGCGUUGUACGCCUGGGCCCUGACGGAGCCGGGCAGCAGCGGCCGUUGUGCACCUUCCAGAGGUGGGAAAAGGCCGGGCCGCGAAAGAGCCGGGUCCGCUGCGGGGGGUUCCUCAGCCCGGUGGGGCCGCCGAGGGCCGGGCUGAGCGGCUGUCCAUCACCGGACGUGGGGCACCAGAGUCCUCUGCACGUGCAGUGCACAGCAAUCCCGCAGGUGCGGGCUGGGAGCUCGUGGAAAUAACCCUUCGCCCUCGGAGGAGCGGCCCCGAAGCUCUCUGCCACUUUUCUCCCUCUCCACCUGGAGAAGAGACACGGGGGAACGUCCCCGCCCCGCGCUGAGGUGCCCGUCGAGGGGCGGCGGCUGCCCCACAGGUGGGGCGGGGAGAGACCCGAUGAUCGCCCCGUCCCGGGCCCCGUGGGAUGCGCCUUUAUGGAUAGCGAUGCCCGGCCCCGGCCACACCACCUCUUCCCGCUGUGCGCCCCGUCCGUGCGGAGGGAACCCCGGCACCCCCUGAGCUCCCCCCACCCUCAGCCUGUUUAGAUUUCUCUCCGAAUGUUUCCCGUAAUCCAGAUUUCUGGAAAAUAACCACACGCGGGCAGACGCGGCCACGAACGCCGCUGAAGUUUAUCCGGAGUUUUACCAACGUAUAAACACAUUUCCAGCCCGUUCGGCGGGGCGGGCGCUGGGUGACCCCUGCCCGGCACCGGGGCUGCACCGCGCUCCGCCCUCGUUACCUCCGCGCCGCUUUGAUCCGGAGCCCUCCGAGCUCCGCCGCUUGAUUGAGUUUUUGCAAUUAAGGAGCGCAGGGAGAGGGAGGGGGGGGGCGGCCGUAACCCCGCACACCCCGGGGCUGCGCACGUCGGGGCGCGGCGCCUCGGCCGCUCCGAGCCCGUUCCCUUAAAAGGCGACG
rnacentral:lncRNA from 1 species